AACGAACGCUGGCGGCAGGCCUAACACAUGCAAGUCGAACGCACCUUCGGGUGAGUGGCGGACGGGUGAGUAACACGUGGGAACGUACCUUUUGGUUCGGAAUAACGCAGGGAAACUUGUGCUAAUACCGAAUGUGCCCUUCGGGGGAAAGAUUUAUCGCCAUUAGAGCGGCCCGCGUUAGAUUAGCUAGUUGGUGAGGU
rnacentral:rRNA from 1 species